rnacentral:tRNA from 1 species
GGGAGAGUACCCAAGUGGCCAAAGGGAACAGACUGUAAAUCUGUCGUCAGUGACUUCGGCGGUUCAAAUCCGUCCUCUCCCACCA